GAAUGUCUUAAUCAAAUUAUGCCACCAUCCCCCAAACUUAUACAAGACAUUGUCCACAAUGUGAAAAAUAAGUUUAGAAGGCAGAAUUUAAGGAAAAUGAAUACAAAUUAGGCAAACGAUACUCCCCUGAUCAAAACGGGGGCUGCGGUGGGAAGCUAGAGCCUGCAGUAUCAUCAGUUGGAGGUGGAGGUAGGCGCGCCAAGAUCUCUCUCAUCAGUGCUGACUGCUGUG
rnacentral:lncRNA from 1 species